UACAGAGGGUGCGAGCGUUGUCCGGAAUCACUGGGCGUAAAGGGCGCGUAGGUGGUGGCUUAAGCGUGCGGUGAAAGCUCGGGGCUCAACCCCGCGUCGGCCGUGCGAACUGUUUUGCUUGAGCACUGUAGAGGCAGGCGGAAUUCCGGGUGUAGCGGUGGAAUGCGUAGAGAUCCGGAAGAACACCGGUGGCGAAGGCGGCCUGCUGGGCAGUAGCUGACACUGAGGCGCGACAGCGUGGGGAGCAAACAGG
rnacentral:rRNA from 1 species